rnacentral:rRNA from 1 species
AACGAACGCUGGCGGCAUGCCUAACACAUGCAAGUCGAACGAGAUCUUCGGGUCUAGUGGCGCACGGGUGCGUAACGCGUGGGAAUCUGCCCUUUGGUUCGGAAUAACAGUUGGAAACGACUGCUAAUACCGGAUGAUGACGAAAGUCCAAAGAUUUAUCGCCAGAGGAUGAGCCCGCGUAGGAUUAGCUAGUUGGUGUGGUAAAGGCGCACCAAGGCGACGAUCCUUAGCUGGUCUGAGAGGAUGAUCAGCCACACUGGGACUGAGACACGGCCCAGACUCCGACGGGAGGAAGCAGUGGGGAAUAUUGGACAAUGGGCGAAAGCCUGAUCCAGCGAUGCCGCGUGAGUGAUGAAGGCCUUAGGGUUGUAAAGCUCUUUUACCCGGGAUGAUAAUGACAGUACCGGGAGAAUAAGCUCCGGCUAACUCCGUGCCAGCAGCCGCAGUAA